rnacentral:misc_RNA from 1 species
GAUGAAGAACGUAGCGAAAUGCGAUAACUAAUGUGAAUUGCAGAAUUCAGUGAAUCAUCGAGUCUUUGAACGCACAUUGCGCCCCCUGGUAUUCCGGGGGGCAUGCCUGUCCGAGCGUCAUUGCUGCCCUCAAGCACGGCUUGUGUGUUGGGCCCCCGUCCCCGGUUUCCCCCGGGGACGGGCCCGAAAGGCAGCGGCGGCACCGCGUCCGGUCCUCGAGCGUAUGGGGCUUUGUCACCCGCUCUGUAGGCCCGGCCGGCGCCAGCCGACACCCAACUUUAUUUAAGGUUGACCUCGGAUCAGGUAGGGAUACCCGCUGAACUUAAGCAUAUCAAUAAGCGGAGGA